UCCACGCUGUAAACGAUGAGGGCUACUCGUUUGGUUCGUUGACGAACUGAGUGGGACAGCUAACGCGCUAAGCCCUCCGCCUGGGGAGUACGGUCGCAAGAUUAAAACUCAAAGGAAUUGACGGGGGCCCGCACAAGCGGUGGAGCAUGUGGUUUAAUUCGAUGCAACGCGAAAAACCUUACCUGGGCUUGACAUCCCUCUGAUCGCUUUUAGAGAUAAGAGCUUCUCUUCGGAGCAGAGGUGACAGGUGCUGCAUGGUUGUCGUCAGCUCGUGCCGUGAGGUGUUGGGUUAAGUCCCG
rnacentral:rRNA from 1 species